GACGAACGCUGGCGGCGUGCCUAACACAUGCAAGUUGAGCGACGAACCAGGGCUUGCCCUGGGGCAAAGCAGCGAACGGGUGAGUAACACGUGGGUAACCUACCCCGAUAACCGGGACAACCCGAGGAAACUCGGGCUAAUACCGGAUGUGCUCACUGGACUUCGGUUCAGUGCGUAAAGGAAGCUUCGGCCUCCGUAUCGGGAGGGGCCCGCGGCCCAUUAGUUUGUUGGUGAGGUAACGGCUCACCAAGACCGCGAUGGGUAGCUGGUCUGAGAGGACGAUCAGCCACACUGGGACUGAGACACGGCCCAGACUCUUACGGGAGGCAGCAGUGGGGAAUCUUGCGCAAUGCGCGAAAGCGUGACGCAGCAACGCCGCGUGGGGGAAGAAGGCCUUCGGGUUGUAAACCCCUUUCAGGAGGGACGAAGGUUCGGCGGUGAAUAGCCGUCCGGACUGACGGUACCUCCACAAGAAGCCCCGGCUAACUACGUG
rnacentral:rRNA from 1 species